UACGUAGGGUGCAAGCGUUGUCCGGAAUUAUUGGGCGUAAAGAGCUCGUAGGCGGUCUGUCACGUCGGCUGUGAAAACCCGAGGCUCAACCUCGGGCCUGCAGUCGAUACGGGCAAACUAGAGUACUGCAGGGGAGACUGGAAUUCCUGGUGUAGCGGUGAAAUGCGCAGAUAUCAGGAGGAACACCGGUGGCGAAGGCGGGUCUCUGGGCAGUAACUGACGC
rnacentral:rRNA from 1 species